rnacentral:rRNA from 1 species
UACGUAGGGACCAAGCGUUGUUCGGAUUUACUGGACGUAAAGGGCGCGUAGGCGGCCUCUGCAAGUCGACUGUGAAAUCUCCGGGCUUAACCCGGAAAGGUCAGCCGAUACUGCAGGGCUAGAGUGCAGAAGGGGCAACUGGAAUUCUCGGUGUAGCGGUGAAAUGCGUAGAUAUCGAGAGGAACACCUGCGGCGAAGGCGGGUUGCUGGGCUGACACUGACGCUGACAGCGCGAAAGCUAGGGGAGCGAACGGG